rnacentral:rRNA from 1 species
AGAGUUUGAUCCUGGCUCAGGAUGAACGUUGGCGGUGUGCCUAAUACAUGCAAGUCGAACGAAGUUGAUAGCAAUAUUAGCUUAGUGGCGAACGGGUGAGUAACGCGUUGGUGAUCUGCCUUGAAGUGUGGAAUAACGUUUCGAAAGGAACGCUAAUACCGCAUGUGCUCUCGAUUUUCAGAAAGUUGAGAGUAAAGGAUUUAUUCGCUUCAAGAGGAGCCUGCGUCCCAUCAGCUGGUUGGUAGGGUAACGGCCUACCAAGGCUAUGACGGGUAGGGGACCUGAGAGGGUGGCCCCCCACAAUGGAACUGAAACACGGUCCAUACACCUACGGGUGGCAGCAGUAGGGAAUAUUGGAAAUGGACGAAAGUCUGAUCUAGCAACACCGCGUGUGCGAAGAAGGCCUUCGGGUCGUAAAGCACUUUUUGGAAGGAAUAGGAAGGAAUGUACUUCCAGAAUAAGUCUCGGCUAACUACGUGCCAGCAGCCGCGGUAAUA